rnacentral:tRNA from 1 species
GCAGUGGUAGCUCGGUCGGGUAAGCGCCCGCUUCUCACGCUAGAGAUGCGUGCUCGAUCCGGGUUCAAAUCCCGGCGCUGACA